GGUCGCCGGGCGCGCGGGGGGACGCCGGCUGCACUCCGGGGCAGGCGCUCUGCAAUGAGACAGUAAAUGCAUCCCCCGCGCACUGCUGUAGGGUAACACCUGGAUUGGGUUCCCAGACCCUUGGAUGUCUUGCUGCCCACAAAUUCCUGGAUCAACUUGUUGAAAACUGUAUUGCUGCUGAAGGCUUCUCAGAUGCUUUAGGAUAUCUUCAGGGAAAUCAACUCUUUACGUAAACUGAGAAUUCAGGUGAGUCCUUGAAAAAAAUGUAUCUUAGCAAUUAGCCACUCCCUGCAUUGAUAAAAUGUAAGUGUUGAAACAUUGUCACUUACUGUCUCAUUUGACAUAUUCUGAGGCAGGCAUGUAGCCACCUAGUCUUGCCACUUACAUUGCUAUUUAUUUUUUCCACCUAGUCAUUGGGUGGGUGAAUACAGGGGCCAGCAAGAUAGGAUGAGAGGCUGUCUUUUAGCCUUAUUGCAUAAAUUCAUAUUUAUUCACACUAUUUUAUUUAUAAACUUUUCAUUUUUGAGGUGUUGGAUAAGGAAUUAAUGAGAAAAUUUUAGUAGUCUUUGCCUUGUGAAACUGCUUGGUGGUUCUUGGAGUCCUCCAUGGAUGGCACACAAUUGCUCUACCAUGAGAUAAACUUUGGUUUAUAGGUUUGGGUUUCUCCCUUUG
rnacentral:lncRNA from 12 species